AGAGUUUGAUCAUGGCUCAGAGUGAACGCUGGCGGCGUGCCUAACACAUGCAAGUCGAACGAGAUGUUUUGCUGUAGCAAUACAGUUAAAAUACUAGUGGCAGACGGGUGAGUAAUACAUAGGUGAUCUUCCUUUGAGAGGGAAAUAACCCCGAGAAAUCGGGGCUAAUGUCCCAUAAGACCACGAUUCUUCUCACGAAGAAAUGAGGUCAAAGCUCCGCAAGGGGCGCUUGAAGACGAGCCUGUGGCCUAUCAGCUAGUUGGUGAGGUAAAAGCUCACCAAGGCUAAGACGGGUAUCCGGCCUGAAAGGGCGAUCGGACACACUGGAACUGAGACACGGUCCAGACUCCUACGGGAGGCAGCAGUGGGGAAUUUUGGACAAUGGGGGCAACCCUGAUCCAGCAACGCCGCGUGAGGGAUGAAGGUCUUCGGAUUGUAAACCUCUUUUGUGAGGGAAGAAUUUGCGCGUGAAGAACGCGUAGUGACGGUACCUCGCGAAUAG
rnacentral:rRNA from 1 species